AUUGAACGCUGGCGGCAGGCCUAACACAUGCAAGUCGAACGAGUGGCGGACGGGUGAGUAAUGUCUGGGAAACUGCCCGAUGGAGGGGGAUAACUACUGGAAACGGUAGCUAAUACCGCAUACCAUCGGAUGUGCCCAGAUGUGAUUAGCGAGUAGGUGGGGUAACGGCUCACCUAGGCGCCGAUCCCUAGCUAGUCUGAGAGGAUGACCAGCGACCUUGGAACACAGACACGGUCCAUACUCCUACGGGAGGCAGCAGUGGGGAAUAUUGCACAAUGGGCGCAAGCCAGAUGCAGCCCGGCCGCGUGUAUGAAGAAGCCCUUCGGGUUGUAAAGUACUUUCAGCGAGGAGGCGUUACUCGCAGAAGAAGCACCGGCUAAAUCCGUGCCGGCAGCCGCGGUAAUUC
rnacentral:rRNA from 1 species